GCUCUUAAAAGUUCCUAAAAUUUUGGGCGGGCAAAUGUGGUGCCUCCUUCUCCCGUAAAAAAAAAAAAAAAAACUGAAAAAUAAUUUCCUCCUCUCCUGUCUCAUAUCUCUACCACCACUCUUCACUUUCCAUUCCAUACCUUCUCUCAACUCUCCAGUCUCUUAUUCUCACUCUUGUUAUCCAUACCCACUCUCUAGCUUCGACUAAGGUUUUCACCUCUCCGAAUUCCAACCUCUCUGGAUCGAUUAUGUGCUUCAACGCUUCUUUUCUUAAUGGUUCUCGUGAUGGUGUUAGGGUUGGGUAUUAGAGGUUUUGAUCGAAGGUGUUCUUCUCUCAACCCGUUGUUUUAGCACUCAGCCAUAGAGAAGAGGUUUGUGUAUUUUUCACUUUUCAUCAUUUGGUAAGAACACAUUUCUCUCUCAACCUUUAAUUUGAAUUCUCUUCGCUCUCAAAUGCUUACUUUUUCAUCAUAUUUCUCUGUAUUUCUUCUUUUUGAUGUUGUUUAUUCUCCUAUCACUACCUAAGUUGUCGUCUAACCCAGAUUUCUUUGGUGAGGUUCUCAUUAUCUUUCAAGGCAUUUCAUGUUUUCUCUGAUUUUUUUUCUUUUCAUGGGGCUUAGGUUGUUAUGAUUUGGGGUUCUUGUUAAUGGGUCUUUUUCCUUUUUCUUUCUGGGAUACUUUCGUUUUCAGAUGUUCUAAUUUGCAUUCCAUUUUUGGGUGGCCUCAAUGUGACUUUAUAUGUUUAUGGUUCUUUGAUUGCUUUACUCUCCACGUUUGUUCUUAUUCUAUUAUCUAUAGGCUUCACUUUUCUGUUCGUUUAGUUUUUGUUUGGGGUUUUGGGUUUAGAAUGGUUAUUGUUAUUAGAAAUAUAAAGUUGGAUAUGAGUUUCUACACGGUUUAGUUUUUCUUUAAUGGUAAUUGAAUUCGUUCCACUGGGGGUUUAGUUAGAGCCAAUGUGUUUGCUUUUUUGUCUUUUUUUUUUUUUUUUUCAUUCAUGCCAUUGGUUUUCACUCUCGUGAUUUUGAACUUAUGGAGGUAUUUCAUGAAGUGUUCGAUAUCAUCCUUGUUCUGACUCUUUUUUUCACUUUUCAGCACUCAGCAUUCAGUCGUAGAGUGUAGAGUCGAGACAACUGAAUCUAAUAUUUUCCUCAAAGAACCUUAUGUUAUUUUGCAUUUCCUAUGUACUCAGUCAUUUCAACAUUUAACUGCUUCUACCUCUAUUUUUCAUCAUGUUUCUUUUAUAUGUGUGUGUUUGUGUGUAAUCUAUUGGUUUGAUUUGUAGAAAAUAUUUUCAGGAAAGUCUCAAGGCGAGCCUGAAAGAUUAUGAGAUUGGUUCUUCCCCAAUCUGUCCCUACUAAAAUGGUGGAUGAAAUAUGGCUUUUGCAUCAAUGGAGAUGACGAUUCACUUUACUCUUGAAGACAAAGGGUGUUGAAGAACUAUCAAUAAUGCAUGCGAUAUCUAGACAACAAACACAACUAACUUGGAGCUAAUUAGAUUUUUUUUAUCAAUAUUUUGUAAUUUAUAAAAUUUAUGUUUUGUUCA